rnacentral:rRNA from 1 species
UACGUAGGCAGCAAGCGUUGUUCGGAGUUACUGGGCGUAAAGGGUGUGUAGGCGGUUGUUUAAGUUUGGUGUGAAAUCUCCCGGCUCAACUGGGAGGGUGCAUCGAAAACUGGCAGGCUUGAGGCAGGGAGAGGGAUGUGGAAUUCCAGGUGUAGUGGUGAAAUGCGUAGAUAUCGGGAGGAACAUCAGUGGCGAAGGCGGCUACCUGGCCCAAUACUGACACUCAGGUGGCGACGAGCCGUGGGGAGCAAACAGG